rnacentral:rRNA from 1 species
UUCUGGUUGAUCCUGCCGGAGGUCACUGCUAUUGGGAUUCGACUAAGCCAUGCGAGUCGAGAGGGUUCGGCCCUCGGCAGACGGCUCAGUAACACGUGGAUAAUCUGCCCUUAGGUGGAGGAUAACCUCGGGAAACUGAGAAUAAUACUCCAUAGACCUAGGAUGCUGGAAUGCACUUAGAUUGAAAGUUGCGGCGCCUAAGGAUGAGUCUGCGGACUAUCAGGUAGUAGUCAGGGUAAAGGCCUGACUAGCCUACAACGGAUACGGGUUGUGAGAGCAAUAACCCGGAGACGAUAUCUGAGACACGAUAUCGGGCCCUACGGGGCGCAGCAGGCGCGAAACCUUCACAAUGUGCGAAAGCACGAUGAGGGAAUCCCAAGUGCUUGCUCGUAAGAGUAAG